CUACGGGGCGCACCAGUAAGGAAUAUUGGUCAAUGGACGCAAGUCUGAACCAGCCAUGCCGCGUGCAGGAAGACGGUCCUCUGGAUUGUAAACUGCUUUUGUCAGGGAAGAAACCUUCGGAUGCGUUCGAAGCUGACGGUACCUGAAGAAUAAGGAUCGGCUAACUCCGUGCCAGCAGCCGCGGUAAUACGGAGGAUCCAAGCGUUAUCCGGAUUUAUUGGGUUUAAAGGGUGCGUAGGCGGCGUUGUAAGUCAGUGGUGAAAGUUUGCAGCUUAACUGUAAAAUUGCCAUUGAUACUGCAGUGCUUGAGUACAGAUGAGGUGGGCGGAAUGUGUCAUGUAGCGGUGAAAUGCAUAGAUAUGACACAGAACACCGAUUGCGAAGGCAGCUCACUAAGCUGUAACUGACGCUGAGGCACGAAAGCGUGGGGAUCAAACAGGAUUAGAUACCCGCGUAGUC
rnacentral:rRNA from 1 species